rnacentral:rRNA from 1 species
UUAGUACGGCGAGUGAAGCGGUAAAAGCUCAAAUUUGAAAUCUGGUACUUUCAGUGCCCGAGUUGUAAUUUGUAGAAUUUGUCUUUGAUUAGGUCCUUGUCUAUGUUCCUUGGAACAGGACGUCAUAGAGGGUGAGAAUCCCGUUUGGCGAGGAUACCUUUUCUCUGUAAGACUUUUUCGAAGAGUCGAGUUGUUUGGGAAUGCAGCUCAAAGUGGGUGGUAAAUUCCAUCUAAAGCUAAAUAUUGGCGAGAGACCGAUAGCGAACAAGUACAGUGAUGGAAAGAUGAAAAGAACUUUGAAAAGAGAGUGAAAAAGUACGUGAAAUUGUUGAAAGGGAAGGGCAUUUGAUCAGACAUGGUGUUUUUUGCAUGCACUCGCCUCUCGUGGGCUUGGGCCUCUCAAAAAUUUCACUGGGCCAACAUCAAUUCUGGCAGCAGGAUAAAUCAUUAAGAAUGUAGCUACUUCGGUAGUGUUAUAGCUUUUUGGAAUACUGUUAGCCGGGAUUGAGGACUGCGCUUCGGCAAGGAUGUUGGCAUAAUGGUUAAAUGCCGCCCGUC